rnacentral:rRNA from 1 species
AAAUGAAUUGACGGGAGCCCGCACAAGCAGUGGAGUAUGUGGUUUAAUUCGACGCAACGCGAAGAACCUUACCAGGACUUGACAUCCGAAGAAGUCGGCAGAAAAGCCGAUGUGCCCCUCGGGGAGCUUCGAGACAGGUGGUGCAUGGUUGUCGUCAGCUCGUGUCGUGAGAUGUUGGGUUAAGUCCCGCAACGAGCGCAACCCUUACGGUCAGUUGCUACAUUAAGUUGAGAACUUUGGCCGGACUGCCGUUGACAAAACGGAGGAAGGUGGGGAUGACGUCAAAUCAUCAUGCCCCUUACGUUCUGGGCUACACACGUACUACAAUGGCGAAAACAAAGGGAAGCGAAGUCGCGAGGCGGAGCAAACCCCAUAAAAGUCGCCUCAGUUCAGACUGCAGGCUGAAACCCGCCUGCACGAAGUUGGAAUUGCUAGUAAUCGCGGAUCAGCAUGCCGCGGUGAAUACGUUCCCGGGCUUUGUACACACCGCCCGU